AGUGCUGGAUGAUGGGUGGUGGAGGUGAGGCCAGACCUACUGACCAAAGGACAUGCUCCACCAUCAGGGCAAGGACCUCUUAUUACUCUGGACAUCAGAAUGUACAUGCCAUGGACAGGUCCACAUCUCCUCUAGUCUCAGCUCAGAUGAGGCUGAGUACAUGAAUCAGGACGAAACCCAUUCCGGCAUCGCACUCCCAAUAGGAGCAAUAGAUCCAGGAAGGGCACGAGGCUCCUUGAAACUCAAGGAGGAGGGCUUGAUGGGGUUUGCAGGAAAGACUUUAGCUGUUACUGCUGCUGCUGGUUCUGGAGCUACCGUCUCUGUCCUGCCUCUGCAGGAGGACUGAGAUUGAAGCCAAUGAAAGGAGGCCAAGUCUGAGAAUGUUUUCAAGGUUCUUCCAUGUUGUAGUGUGUAUCAAUACUCAAUUCCUUUCUAUGGUUGGAUAAUACUGCACUGCAUGGAUAGAUCACAUUUUCUUCAUCUAUUCAUUAGUUAAUGGACAUGUGAUAUGUUUCCGCCUUUUGACCAUCAUGAGUGACAUUGGUAAGAACAUUUGUGUACAAGUUUUUUGUAGACAUAGGUUUUUAUUUCUCUUCAGUAUAUAUCUAGGAGUAGAAUUUGUGGAUCAAAUGUUUAAUAUUUUGAGGAACUGCCAGACCGUUUUCCACAGAGGCUACAGCAUUUUACAUUUCCAUCAGUAGUCCACAAGGGUUAUAAUUUCUCUACAUCCUUGCCGACACCUAUUACUUUUUCUCUUUUUUUUUUUUCAAUUAUAGUGACCCUAGUGGGUGUGAAGUGGUAUCUCACUGUGGUUUUGAUUUGCCUUUCCCUGGUAACUAAUGAUGUUUAUAUGUUUUUGUGGGCUUUUUGACCAUUUGUAUACUUUCUUCAGAAAAAUGCCCAUUUAGAUAUUUUGUCCUGUUUUUGUUUUUGUUUCUGUUUUUUUGUUUUUGAGACGGAGUCUCGCUCUGUCACCCAGGCUGGAGUGCAGUGGCCUGAUCUCAGUUCACUGCACCCUCUGCCUCCCGGGCUCAAGCGAUUCUCCUGCCUCAGCCUCUCGAAUAGCUGGGAUUACAGGCGCGUGGUACCAUGCCCGGCUAACUUUUGUAUUUUUAGUAGAGAUGGGGUUUCUUUUCACCUCUUUGGCCAUGCUGGUUUUGAACUCCGGACCCCAGGUGAUGUACCCGUCUUGGCCUCCCAAAGUGCUGGGAUUACAGGCUUGAGCCACCACGCCUGGCCCUUUUGUUCAUUUUUAACUGGGUUAUUUGUCUUCUUUUUCUUCUUCUUCUUCUUCUUCUUCUUCUUCUUCUUCUUAUUAUUAUUAUUAUUAUUAUUAUUAUUAUUAUUAUUGAAAGGGAGUUUUGCUCUUGUUGCCCAGCUGGAGUGCAAUGGCGUGAUCUCGGCUCACUGCAACCUCCACCUCCCAGGUUGAAGAAAUUCUUUUGCCUCAGCCUUCCGAGUAGCUGGGAUUACAGGCGCCCGCUACCACGCCUGGCAAAUUUUUAGUAUUUUCAGUAGAGAUGGGGUUUUGCCAUGUUGGCCAGGCUGGUCUCGAACUGUUGAUCUCAGGUGAUCCACCCGCCUCGGUUUCCCAAAGUGUUGGGGUUACAGGCGUGAGCCACCACGCCUGGCCGUCUUUUUAUUAUUGACUUGUAAGAGUUAUUUAUAUAUUCUAAAUACAGUUCUCUGACAGACAUAUGACUUACAAAUAUUUUCCCCACUAUUUUCACUUUCUUGACAGUGCCUUUGAAAUACAAAAGUUUUAAAUUUUGAUG